CAUGUGUGUAUGGUCAGGACAGGUAGGCCAGUCUCCUGUAGUGUUCUGUACAGCUAGGUGAGUACAGUACAGUACUGUACAUGUGUGUAUGGUCAGGACAGGUAGGCCAGUCUCCUGUACUGUUCUGUACAGCUAGGUGAGCACAGUACAGUACUGUACAUGUGUGUAUGGUCAGGACAGGUAGGCCAGUCUCCUGUAGUGUUCUGUACAGCUAGGUGAGUACAGUACAGAACUGUACAUGUGUGUAUGGUCAGGACAGGUAGGCCAGUCUCCUGUAGUGUUCUGUACAGCUAGGUGAGCACAGUACAGUACUGUACAUGUGUGUA